CCUACGGGAGGCAGCAGUGGGGAAUAUUGCACAAUGGGGGGAACCCUGAUGCAGCGACGCCGCGUGAGUGAAGAAGUAUUUCGGUACGUAAAGUUCUAUCAGCCGGGAAGAAAGAAGGAAGGUACCUGAGUAAGAAGCCCCGGCUAACUACGGGCCAGCAGCCGCGGUAAUACGUAGGGGGCAAGCGUGAUCCGGAAGUACUGGGUGUAAUGGGAGCGUAGACGGUAAUGCAAGUCCGAAGUGGAAUGUUGCUGCGCAACUGGCGAACUGCCCUGGAAACUGUAUGGCUUGAGUGCAGGAGGGGUGAGCGGAAUUCCUGGUGUAGCGGUGAAAUGCGUAGAUAUCAGGAGGAACACCGGUGGCGAAGGCGGCUUACUGGACUGUAACUGACGUUGAGGCUCGAAAGCGUGGGGAGCAAACAGGAUUAGAUACCCUAGUAGUC
rnacentral:rRNA from 1 species